AAGGGGAAUCACUAGAACAUCUAGGUACCUCACUAAAUAGGAUAUGCAACAUAUCCAGUGCAAAUAUCAUGCUCAGUGGCGAUUUCAAUUUAGGCAAUAUUGACUGGUCAAAUUCAUCAGUAAUACCUAGCAAACCAGAUCCUUCUCUUCAUCAACACCUAUUAGACAUAUUACAAGAUCACAAUCUCACACAGGUAGUUGACAAACC
rnacentral:lncRNA from 1 species